AAGACUAUACUUUCAGGGAUUAUUUCUAUAGUUUCUAACUUGAGAAAUGUGCUCCUAAAUUGUAUGGACUCGCUAACCACGAUGAUGAGGUAACGAUACUUCUUCCUGAGCGCGAAGCUGGUAAAGAUUGGAGAUUUUGUCACGUGAUCUUUGCUUUUGAUGACCGUUCACUGCUCCUGCUGGAGCAGCGAUGGAGGGAGUAUUGUCAGAGUGGU